AUACGUAGGGGGCGAGCGUUGUCCGGAAUGAUUGGGCGUAAAGGGCGCGUAGGCGGCUUUGCAAGUCAGUAGUGGAAGUCCAUUUUUCAAGGAUGGAAGUGCUACAGAAACUGCGGAGCUUGAGUGCAGGAGAGGUUAUCGGAAUUCCCGGUGUAGCGGUGAAAUGCGUAGAGAUCGGGAGGAACACCAGUGGCGAAGGCGGGUAACUGGACUGCAACUGACGCUGAGGCGCGAAAGUGUGGGGAGCAAACAGGAUUAGAUACCCUGGUAGUCCACACUGUAAACGAUGAAUGCUAGGUGUAGGAGGUAUCGACCCCUUCUGUGCCGCAGUAAACAAAGUAAGCAUUCCGCCUGGGGAGUACGGUCGCAAGAUUAAAACUCAAAGGAAUUGACGGGG
rnacentral:rRNA from 1 species